ACAUCAAUUCCCCCAGUGAUGGAGACAAGGCAGAAUCUCUCAGGGAAAUGCCCACAUUAAAAGGACUUUUUUUUUCCUAACUUUAUAAAGUUCAGUUUAUAUUAAUAGCUUCUGGAGCUUUAACUGUGAGCCACAGUAAGUACUUUUAAAUGUUGCACAACUGUUAGUUAUUAGUAUUGACAGUAAUUAGGUGUACAUUGGUUG
rnacentral:lncRNA from 1 species